GUUAUUGUAGCUUACAUACUAAAGCGCAGCACUGAAGAUGCUGAGAAGGUACACACCCAAAUAACA
rnacentral:tRNA from 1 species